UAUUUUCUUCUGGAGGUAACCCCCUCUGUGUGUGUGUGUGUCUGUAGGUGCACCAGUCAGCCCAUCAAUGGGCAUAAUCAGUAGAUCCUCAGAGAGAAGCUCUUGGAAAUGGGUAUCCUAGUGAGAAAAUCCUCAGCAGUUUCAGUUCAGUCAGGGCAUCUCCUUCGCAGCAGCAGCAGAAGCAGCAGCAGAAGCAACGGCAGUGCUUCUGGUACUCUGCAGGCCACAUCGUUCAUACCUUAUACAUCACUACCAUAUUCUUUGUAAUAGGAGAGCCUAAUACAGCAUUUCAUUGCCUACAGCCCCCAAGCUUCCACCAGGCAGUUGCAUUUCUGCAUCUGAACCUUCUUAAUCAUCCCUGCAGUCCUCCAUCUCAUCAGCAGGCUAUUUGUGUCUCAGCAGGAGCAGCAAAAGAAGCAUGUUAUCACCUGGAGGUUAGACUCACCCUGUUCAUUAGGAAGAGCAAGGCAACAUUUCACCUCAAGUGGCAAAGAGCAGAGGCUUGAAGCGGCACUGAAAUGGGGCAGGGCAUUCCACCCUACUCUCAGCACUGGAUCAUCUACUGGACAUAAUCACAGAGCAGAGUAAAUUGGCCAGCUCUGGCAGUAGAGCAUGAAGAACAGUGCAUGAUGGUAGCCCCAGGUCAGGCAGAGUUCCAAUGCUGCUGAUCUAGAGUCCUCAGAGCCAGGCGCUGUGGAUGGAGGGAUCUUAUUGCCUCUAAUGUCAGCUGGUUCCCAAGGAGAAAGGGGAGUGGAGGAAGGGUCAGUGGGGAUGAUGAUGGGAUGGCAGCAACAGCUAUGUUCCUCCUUCUACCUCAGGAGGCCCAAAAACGUGGGCCACCUUGACUUGUUCUUCUGCCACCAAGACUAAUAGAUUUCUGCUCUCUGGUGCAAUAGAAGGUGCUGUCUUGUCACCCAUGUUUUCAAUGGCGCAGUCUGGUCAGUUUGGAAUUGGAAGGGAUGAGCCAUCAAGGCCUCCAAAUCCUGCCUCUUAACACCUUUUCUGCAAAGCAGACUGUCUUGGGCCCUCUAUAGUCAUGGAAAAUAAAAACUGAAAGUAAUAAAGCUCCUUUGUGUUC
rnacentral:lncRNA from 1 species